AUACUAUGUACUAACUAUACCACAACUUUAUAAGACAAACCAUAAUCAGAUUAGUAAUGCCAAAAAAAUUCUGACUUUUCUAGACUACCGCAAGGUACACUAAAACUAUAACCCUAGAAGUGACUAACUCACCUACCUUUUGCAUAAUGUAAUUGCAAGAACAAAAGAUUUAUCUAUCCUUUCCCGAAAAGUGGAGAGCUACUACAAACAUUUAACCAUUAAUGUAACACUAUUAAAACACAGUUUAUAGUAGCAGCAAAAUACCUAUCGAGCCACUUGAUAGCUGGUUGUCCCUUAAAGACAUAUAAGUGUCUUUUUACAGAAAAAAAUAAAAUAAUUCUUCUGUAAAAAAAACUCUAAGAAGGACAAGCCCCUUAGAGCCCCUAGAAAUAGCAGAAUAAUAACACCUCAGAAAGGCUUAAAAACAGCCAAAAAUAUCCGUUAUAGGAAAUGACACUAAAAAUCAAAAUAAAUUACUAAAUUCUUAACCAUCAAGGAACCUUACAGACUAACCAACCCUUUAAUGAACCGGCAAUUAUUAGUAUCACAAAGUUUAUUAAAAAGGUUCAUCCAAUAUAAAUAAAACAACCUAAAAAUAACUCUAACACUUUAAUUUACCUUUGGUAAUGAACUCGGCAAAACUUUUCUCUGCCUGUUUAUCAAAAACAUCGUCUUUUGCCAUUACACCCAUAAAAGAUACUGCCUGCCCCAUGAUUUAAUUUAAAUGGCCGCGUUAGCGUGAGCGUGCUAAGGUAGCGUAAUAAACAGCUCCCUAAUUAGGAGCCAGUGAAUGGCCAAACAAAGAAAAACUUUAUCACCAAUGAUAAGAAAAAUUUUCUUCUAAGUGAAAAGACUUAGAUUAAAGAAAAAGACAAAAAGACCCCGCGGAACUCCCUUACAGCUUUACCACUUAAAUUAAACUUAAGCUUACAGCUAACUGGUUGGUUGGGGCAACCUUGGAAUAAUUAAAACCUCCAUUAAUUUCAAAAAACCAUGCAAAACUUGUUAUGGACUACAUUUGUAGUUACCCCGGGGAUAACAGCGUAAUCCAACUUAAGAGUACGAAUCGAAAGUUGGGUUUGCGACCUCGAUGUUGGCUUAGGGAAGCCACUUGGCGCAGCCGCUAAGUUACAAGGCCAGUCUGUUCGACUGCUAACCCCCUACAUGAGCUGAGUUAAGACCGGCGAGAGCUAGGUUGGAUUCUAUCUUUUCCUUUUAACAUAAAUUCUUUAUUGUACGAAAGGACCCAAAGAAGCACACUAAAGUGUUCACAAUAAAAAACAACUUUUACAUUAAUUAACCAUUUUAAUA
rnacentral:rRNA from 1 species